rnacentral:rRNA from 1 species
AUUGAACGCUGGCGGCAUGCUUUACACAUGCAAGUCGAACGGUAACAGGCCUUCGGGUGCUGACGAGUGGCGAACGGGUGAGUAAUGCAUCGGAACGUACCCAGAGGUGGGGGAUAACGCAGCGAAAGCUGUGCUAAUACCGCAUGUGAUCUGAGGAUGAAAGCGGGGGACCGAGCAGCAAUGUUUGGCCUCGCGCCUUUGGAGCGGCCGAUGUCGGAUUAGCUAGUUGGUGGGGUAAAGGCCUACCAAGGCGACGAUCCGUAGCUGGUCUGAGAGGACGACCAGCCACACUGGGACUGAGACACGGCCCAGACUCCUACGGGAGGCAGCAGUGGGGAAUUUUGGACAAUGGGCGCGAGCCUGAUCCAGCAAUGCCGCGUGCGGGAAGAAGGCCUUCGGGCUGUAAACCGCUUUUGACAGGAACGAAACGGUGUCCGCUAAUACCGGGCGCUAAUGACGGUACCUGCAGAAUAAGCACCGGCUAACUACGUG